UUGGUGGCGACCGGCGCACGGGUGAGUAACGCGUAUGCAACCUACCUAUCAGAGGGGAAUAACCCGGCGAAAGUCGGACUAAUACCGCAUAAAACAGGGGCACCGCAUGGUGAUAUUUGUUAAAGAAAUUCGCUGAUAGAUGGGCAUGCGUUCCAUUAGGUAGUUGGUGAGGUAACGGCUCACCAAGCCGACGAUGGAUAGGGGAACUGAGAGGUUGGUCCCCCACACUGGUACUGAGACACGGACCAGACUCCUACGGGAGGCAGCAGUGAGGAAUAUUGGUCAAUGGGCGGGAGCCUGAACCAGCCAAGUCGCGUGGAAAAGGAAGAAGGAUCUAUGGUUCGUAAACUUCUUUUGCAGGGGAAUAAAGUGCAGGACGUGUCCUGUUUUGUAUGUACCCUGAGAAUAAGGAUCGGCUAACUCCGUGCCAGCAGCCGC
rnacentral:rRNA from 1 species